ACUAGCACUAAGAAUCAUUCCUGUUGACUCUCACUGGCUUCAUUUGAUCAAAUAGCUUAAAAGGCUUCAGUGCAGAAAGGAAUAAUGAUUUAUAUUUGUGCUGAUACAGUUAUAUUUCUUUAAUUUCUUACCCUUAAUUAUGAAAAGAAAGAAGUCAGUCUUCAUCUAGUAACUUCACUGUAAAACAGGCUUGGAUCAGUUAGUCCUUUCUCAGUAUUCUCUCUUCGAGCUGCUGGACAACAUUGUGAUGAAAAAUGCCACAGGAAACUUCACUCUUUUCUGGGUGAGCAGACCUCUACAGAUGUCUCAUCCAGAGAUUUAUGAAUUCACCUUCAUAGAAGAGAUGCAAGAAAAGGCAACUAAGUCUGAAAGCUAUGUGAACACCUGGAUCAUGCCAGUUCUUCCUGAAUAACUGCAGGAAAAGAUUGACUUUGGCUUAAAGACCCAUGUUACUAAAAUGGAUCUACAGAGAAGAAUAUUCAUCCCUCAAGAAAGCAUGGACAUUUUACCAGUGUAGUAGAAUACAGCAAGCAGCAUCAUGCAUUCUCUCCAAGCUUUAAGAAAUAACAUCAGAGUUGCACUAAAUUUGAAAUAGAGAAGAAAGUAUGGUGGUCUAUACAAUGUCCCAGAUCUUUAAAACAGGGAACUAAACAGCUUUGUGCUGCUGACAGUUAACAAGAAAC